UACGAGGGGGGCGAGCGUUGUUCGGAAUUACUGGGCGUAAAGCGUGCGUAGGUGGUUUGUUAAGUCUGUUGUGAAAGCCCCGGGCUCAACCUGGGAAUGGCAAUGGAUACUGGCAGGCUAGAGUGCGGUAGAGGGUAGUGGAAUUCCCGGUGUAGCGGUGAAAUGCGUAGAGAUCGGGAGGAACACCAGUGGCGAAGGCGGCUACCUGGACCAGCACUGACACUGAGGCACGAAAGCGUGGGGAGCAAACAGG
rnacentral:rRNA from 1 species